rnacentral:lncRNA from 1 species
AAUUCAGAUGUUGAGUAUAUAAUGUUGAUAAUUACUGUAUACGUACACGAAUUUGUAUUGUUUACAUCCUUACUUAAUUGUAUAUUACUUGUAAUUGCAGGCAGUACAAGCGUGGUUCCGACUGAAGAUCUUAUAGUUGAAGAGUUACCACCUAGACUCUUUGCCCUAGACCGGUACCCUGUGAAGACGAAGAUGAACGCGUACUCCAAACCGGAGUACCUUUCUGACAUAGCGCAAGUUCUUAAGGGAAAAGAGGAGAUGAAGUUUCUUCUCGAAUCUCCAUUUGGGGACCUUUUUAGGAUACCUGCUAACAAGUCUUCCUUCUCAGGUAAGCUUGUUCUUGGACUAAUAUGUCAUCAGUUAGUGACGAGUAAAGUGAAUGAGAUGUGGAUGGUCUUCGGCGGUCAUCCAAUAAAAUUUGGAUUAAGAGAAUUUAGUCUGGUAACUGGUCUAGAAUGUGGGACGUAUCCCAACAAGAAAGACGUGACGGAUGUGCUAAAGGUCAAAGCUGGGAGUCAAAGUGUCUGGAAAACUCUGUUUGAGGAGAAGUUUGUGACGUAGCCGAAUCCAACAGUGCAUGAUUUGGUGGUCUGGCUGAAGGAGGAGGAAAAUAUGGAUGGGUGGAAGCAGCUGGUCUUAUUUCUUAUAAUCUUGGUAGAUGGUGUGAUAGGGUGCCAUAAUAACCCCAUAAGGCCUUCUGAGUUCACUGUUGAGAUGACGAAGAGCGUGCAAUUCUUCUGCAAAUACCCUUGGGGAAGGGUGUCUUUUACCCGUACUUUGGAGAGGAUAGCAAAAUUCCAAACCCCUUCAGAUGCUCAAAAACUGAUAAGGUGUGUAAAGGAUGGGUCUUAUGCACUACAUGGAUUCCCAUUAGCACUCCAGCUGUUUGCGUUUGAAACAAUCCCAUCCCUUGCUAAGCUAGUACCUGAUGAUGAAGCUAACAGGACAUUUACUCAGAGGUCUAUCCAUCAUCUUGCCUCACUACGGGCAAUCAUGACAUCCAGCAUCUUGGAGUGUGAGGCUGCUGAAGAGGUAUGUACAAUUGUUUAUGUACGUACAUUAUUUAAAAAGUAAGUGUACAUUCUCUAAGUGGUUAACAAACUUAUUGGUGUAGGUUGAGGUAACCUAUCUUGUGAAACCAGAGGACAAUAUUUGUCCUCCAUCCCUGUCAUGAGAUGAUGAAGUUGAGGAUCCAAGAGUUGCUUACAUUGAGCGAUUGUUGUUAGCUGGUUAUGAGUGGAAGGAGGAAGAAUGGGUUGGAGGUUAUGCUGCAUUUCCAAAGCAGGAGCACCCACCACAACUUGGAGAGAUACGUGAGUGUAAAUGUUGUUUUUAUACUUUCUGAUUAUUGUCCCUUGAAGACCAAUCAAUGAUUAAACUGGUCUAUCGUAGGUGUGAAGAAGAGGAAAAGAAAUGUAACAGCCCCGAAUGCACUUGCUUUGAAAAAACAGAAAUUUGUUGUGGAAGAAGAAAAUGAGGACACUGCUGAGGAUUGUUUUGAAGAUCCCCAGUUUGAGAAGUUUGUAGUUGAACUUAGGAGGUGUUUCAAGAGGCAGGAAGCACAAAAUAAACAAAUGCAACAAGACUUGAAGAAAUUUGUCCGUCAGGAGAUACGUGCUGCCUUAGAUCCAAAGGGCAAAAAGACAGAACCAACCAAAACUUCCCAUGCUUCACAGGGCCCAACUAAAUCGGUGGCUAAGGCACCGAUGAGUGUGAAGAAGGCAUCUAAAAGGAUGUCUACAAAGAAAGUCUUCAAGUCUGGAACAAGAAAGUCUUCAAGGCUGAAGAAUAUGACGUCAAUUGCGGAGAUUACUCAGCUUUCUGAUGGUAACUCUUCCUCUGAGGAAGAUGACCAGGUAUGGCAUGUACGUACAUUUAUAUAUAGUAUUUUAAAUGUAUGUACAUGAAGAUUAAUAACUGUAACUUGUCUGCUAUGGUACAGGAUGAAGCCAACAAUGAAGGUGGUUUUACUGCAAAUGAUGGAGGAGAUUUUUCGAACAGAGACGAAUAUAUGGUUGACACUGGAGUAGCUAACAUUUCAGUUGGUGGACCUACACCUUCCCAUCAGGUAUGUCGUGUACAAAUAUUUUUAUCAAUUAUUUCCAGUUGUGUACGUACACAUAGGCUUCAGAAGUGUAUGGUAUACUAUGUUUCAGGAUGAAGGAGCACGUGAUGGUGGUGAGUCUGUCCUUGUUGGUACACAGUCAGGGACCGAGGAAAAAGCUAGUGCUGACACAGAUAUGUCUUGUGCUAAUAGUCACAUACUGUUUUCCAUAAGUGUACGCGUAUCAAUUAUUUUCAGUUCUCCACGUACAUAUAGCUUAAGAAGUGUAUGGUAUACUAUGUUUUAGGAUAAAAGACCAAUUGAUGGUGGUGAGCCUGUCGUAGUUGGUACACAGCUAGGGACAGAUGAAAAACCAACUGCUGACACAGAGAUGGUAGAAAAUCCAUCAGGUUUACCUGCAACAUCUAGACAGGUAUAUGGUCUGCUAAUAGUCAAAUGUAGUUUUCCAUAUGUGUACUCACAUAAAGCUUAAGACGUGUAUGGUAUAUUUGUUUCAGGGAUAAGAACAUGGUGCCGGUCUUGAGAGUGAAGCAAAUGUUGGGGAGGAACCAGAAAUUUGUGAGGAUAAUGAUAGAGAUACAUCUUCUCAGGCUGAACACACCGAGGAACCCGGUGUAAGUGUACGUACAUUUGUCUUUCUUAUUUCCCGUGUACGUAUAAGUACUGAUUGUUUCAGACAUAACAAAAUAGAGGAUAUAGCCGAUGAAAUUGAUAACUACUGCCACAGGUUGAUGCGGGAGAUGUACCCAAUGUUGUUCCAGAGAGUAAAGUGGAUAACUCAGUACUUGAGGGCACCCCUAGUGAUCCCCCUUCACCAUUUGCAGUAGUUAAGAAUGUAAGCUAACUAUAUUUUAAAAUAAAAUAGUGUAGGCUUGUUUAAAUUUAUAAUCUUCUAUUAUGCAGGUGUUAUAGGAGUUGGCAACGAAAGCCUCCAUGGAUGUGGAUGCAGCUAAUGUAAAGGAGGUAAAAAUCUCGUGUUUGGUUUAAAAUUAUACACAAUUAUUAACAUACGUACAUAGGAUUGUAUGCGUACAUUUAAAUAAUUCUGCACGUUAAUUUGUCUUGGAGCAGCAGGGGAUUAUCGACGGGGUGGAAGAACAAGAGGAUUCAAACCCAGGGUUAGAUGAAGCAGACACGACAGUUGGUACACUGAAAAAUAUUGUGAGUAUCUUGCCAGCAAAUAUUAUCAUUACAUUUUGAAAUUGUUUAAUCAUGGUGUUUACAAUAAUACUUCUUUACAGGAUGAACCAAACAACGAUGCUUCACUCGAAGCAAUAGCAGUUAAAAUUCCUACCCCGGUUGUACCCAAAAAAGUGAAGAAGCAAAUAAUUUUUGAGGUGGAUGAAGCCCUUCCGGAAGGUUUUAAGGAAACAACAGUCCUCGUGGAGGAUGUUCCUGGACGAGCUGAAGAUUCAGAGGUGGUUAUAGCGGCUGGAAAUGUCCCUUACAACCCCUUGGAGAAGGUUGAGGCUUCCAAAUUAGAGCUCUUAACCAAUGUCCUCCGCGGUCCGAAUGUGUAAGUAUCGUGCAUUAUCAAAAUUAUCCCUUAAUUGAUACAUUGGUUUUCUAUAACAACCAGUCAUACUAUAAUAUUGGAUAUACAGGAAGCACACUCUUUUCGGGUAUCGCAAAGUGGACAACGAGUUUUUCUCCAUGCUUAUAGCACAAGGAAAGUGGGUGGAUAAUAUGGUAAGUUGAAAUAGUACAUUUGUGUACAUUUUUAAAAUAUGCCUAUUGUGUACGUUAGGCCAAGGACUUAUUAUCCGGGAUCCAGGAUCCGAUCCGGGAUCCGCUCCGAUCCGAUCCGAAAAACAGGAUAUCCGGGGUGGGCGGAUCUGGAUCCGGAUACUUCAAAAUUUUAGAACCGGAUAUCCGGAUCCGGUACUAUUAAAUGUUUAUAGUUGGGCCCAUUAUAGUUAGUCAAAUUUGAAACUCAUUUUAUUCUAAAGCCCAAAUGAUAUAAAGCCCAAACCCAAUAAUUUACUAAAAUAUCUCUCCAACUCUCUCUUCCCCACGAGACCUGUCAACCUCCAACAUUAUCUCUUCACCUCACCACAAAACCUAUAUCCAAAAAUUGCAGAAUUUACAUCUUUUAAUUUCUAGUUUCGAUCCCCCAAUCCAUAAAUCAUUUGUUGUAGUUGUUGGCUCUCUAAUUUUCAUCCCAUCUUUUCGUCGUGGAUUUGUUGUUUUCGGUGAAUCGCCGGCGGAUUUGGUGAAUCAAACAAUGAAAAAGUAACAGAUCUUGAAUAGUUUUUCUUAGUUUCGAUGAUUCAAAGUUUUUUAUUGGUAUAGGAAUACAACGCUCCUGUGAUUUGGUUAUUUGCGUUUGGUGCUCUAGCUGGGUAAAGUAUUGAAGGAGAGCGUGUCAAGAAAAAAAUGGGCUCACGAAAAAAAAAAAAAAGGUUUUAUUCGGAUCCGGAUAUCCGCGGAUAUCCGGGUUUUUUAACGGGUAUCCGUGAUCCGGAUAUCCGGUUCAUCCGGAUCCGGAUCCGGAUAAUAAAACUGUAGAUCCGGCGGAUCCGGAUCCGGAUCCGGAUACACCCAAUUUUGCCGGAUAUCUGGAUCCGUCUCAGGGCUAGUGUACGUACACUAACUGUCUAUGCUAUUAUCAUUUCAGGUCUUGGAAAUGCUCGCAAUCUUGAUGUGGCACAAGAACGGUCAACAAAUGAUAGCAAACCGAUGCGUUGUUUUGGACUCUUUCCUGCUUUAUGAGCUUACUAAGCGUGCUGUCAGCUUCAGGAAUUGUAUAAAUAAGCUUGGGUUCAAAUGGGGCGACCGGCUAUACGACAUGGCCAAUGGAAUACACAUACACCGUGAACCUAGUCGUAGAUGGUUCAAGGAUGUCGACGUGGUAUAUGCUCCGAUGAACUGGAAAGGUGAUCAUUGGGUUGGGUUGGCAAUCUACCUCAGAGCCCGGCAUAUAGUUGUCUAUGACGCUCUCAUAGAACACACGCGGGAGUCUGUUGCAUGGUCAAAGAUGCAGCCUGUCUGCGAGAUGAUGCCGUACCUAGUGAGAGCGAUGUGCGCGGAUGUAUUGCCUGAGAAGUACUCAGUUGAACCUUUUGCCUAUGAGAGAAAUGUGAUGGUCGCUCAAAACCCAAGUACAGGAGAUUGCGGGCCUUACGCAAUGAAGUUCUUGGAGUUGCUGGCGUUUGGUAACCCAAUGUCAGACUUGGUGAAUAUUCAAGAAGCAGAUAUGGCCUCCUACCGUCAGGUGUACGCAGCGGAAAUCUACGAGCACGGCAAGCGCAAGUGUAGUAAUCGGCGUUUAUUGUAAUCAUCCCUGGAUGUUGAAUUAUUAUUAUUUCCUAGUACUUAUUUCCUUAUUUUCAACAACCUAAUUAGAACAACGUAAUUAAUUAUGGAGAUCCUAAAAAUAUUUAUGUAAUCGUUAUAACUAUCUUCUCUAAACAAUCUGCAUAUCGUACACUUAUUCAAAAACCAACAUGUGUACGUACAUCUUACAUAAAGUACGUCUUUUACACAAAAGUCAAUUUUUCUCAUAAUAAGAUAACUAUUUCUUUACUUACAUUGAUUUGACAACCCUCCCUCACUGCAUCAUCACUUACGUAAGAUUGCAUUAACUACAACCAUAACUUAACCAACUAACUUCAUUGUUCUUUAUUUAAGAGUAGGAAUUGCAUUGUUUUGAAACACCAAAUUCCAAGAAAUGUCUACACCAAAUCUACCUGAAGAUUUGCUAGCCAAGAUAGCCAAAAAAAUGGCUGACAAAUGUUGGUGGUACCUCGGACCUCUGUUAAGAUCAGGGCGUCGUGGAAGAAACAUUGUCUACAGGCCAGAUGUCCUGAAAGAUGCUAAUAUUUACACCAUGUGCAGUGAUCCCGAUGACUUCCAUGCGGCAGGCCAUGAUCCGAAUGACAUCAACGCUGAAGGUCGAUAUAGACCCUUUUUCAAAAGGUGUCUAGAGGCUGGUAACACGAUUGCUAUUUACCAUGAAGGACUGCGUCUAGUUACCCAUGAGUCUGACAUUAAAGGCGCCAUUGUUCUUUUACAGCGGAAUGUACCAAGGCACGUCGAUGCAACCCUGGCCUGCGCAAUUCUGUGCAUAUGCGACGGCAAUGCUCACAUGGGUGGUGUGUACCUACGCCUGUUCGCAAACAACCAUUACGCUUUGGAAUCAGAAGAAACACGUGACAAUUGUGAGGAACUCCUAGACGAAAUAAAAUAAUAUGGAAUUAGGUUAAACAACACAUACGGCGCAACCUUUCCGUACCCUGAGGAACGUGGUAUUCGAACGCCUCCUUGCGCUGAGCUGUGUUACAUCAGAUCUGGACCCUUCAAGAAUGUUUGCAACGUAUGUUACCUCUGGUGGUGUGCAAGAAGAAUUAGCCAAAUUCUCUAGGCAGUUCUUACGUAAUUUUCUCUGAAUUUCUAAGUUUUUAUGUUAUAAUAUGUGGCCUUUGCAAUUGUACUUUGCUUAUCAGUAAUGCAUGUCUUUUUAUCUACAUCCUUGUUUGUUUCUCAUAUAAUACUCAAUCUUAUGAAUGGUUACAAAUAAUUGUAAUAUAAGAUUUUAUAGUAAAUUGAUAAACAAGUUUCCUAAUGUUAGAUAAUGGUGCCUUGUCUACACAGGCUUACGAAUUAUCAUUAAAUACAUACUGACCUGAUUUAGCCAUUGAAAUGACCUUUAUCUUUUCAGAAAAAAAAAGUAAUAUCCCCAUAUAUACGUACACAAUUUGUAAUUAAUGUACACUGUCUUUUGUCAGAUAAAACGAAAUUGCGAAAGAAAGAUAUUUGGUUAUUAAUGCGUUCCUCCCAGAUUUAGCCAUAUACAUGAACUCAAUCUUUUCCCCCUAAUUCGGCGACAGACAUCAACACAAACUUUUGGUCAAAGAACGUAAUAAGGGUAGACAUACGUACACGGGUAUACUUUAUUGUACAAGUAUUUUAGUUGGUUUGAAACUAGAAAUAUGAGAAGUGACUUUCGAGAUGGUAGUAAAUGAUGAUGCAAUGUUGAUUGAUUUGACCUGUAAUAACCCAUAUCUACAAGAUUUGGAGUGGUUAUUUAUUGCAUACUGUCAAGCUCUAUUCAUAGAAAUGACCUCUAUCUUUUCGCAUAAAUCUCCCUAAUAUACGUACACGUUUUGCAAUUAAUGUACACUGGCAUUUGUCAGAUAAGAGGAACUUUAAAAUAAUGAGACUUUUUUAAUGCGUUCCCCCCCCCAAAUGUAGCCAUAUACAUGAACUCAAUAUUUUGCCCCUAUAUAAACGAUAUCACACACACUAAUUUAUUUGCUCACAUUCUUCUAAAACCUCCUUCAUUCAUCAACUGCAAGAUUAUUUCUAAACCUCCUUUCUAAACAACAUGGCUUUCCCCGCAACCCCUCCAACCGAGAUGUACCUUGCAAUACAAUUACCAAACCCGAUUUCUGUCCUCAUCAACUACGUGCCUGUAUCUCAGACUCCCAUCGAGACCCUCCGCCGCUUGGUCGAAGCAAGUGACGUAAACACAAUAGUGAUGGACGACUUCAUCACAUGGCCUCACUUCGUGCAGCCGGAGUCUCCCUUCAGGGCCUACUUCAGCCUCUUGCUGGAAAGGGGUGCGAUCCUGGCUAUAUACCUCGAAGGUUUCCGCCAGGCAAGCAGCUUCGUAACGGUGGCCCAUGGCAUUGCACUACUCAACUCCGUCUCUCCAUCCAACCCUCUCGCCUGCUUUGCGUCCGGCUUAUUCCUAACUUGUACUGGCAACCAUGUUGACUUUCUUUCAGUCAGCGAUAUGUUCUGGGUGAUGACACCCACAGUCACGGUAGCUCACGCAGUGGGGGAGCUGGUGAUGUAUCACAUAAGCCAGCUUCACACCGAAGGUCCUCGGCUCUGGCAACGUUCAUGGAGGUAUGUGCACACACCGGCAUGUGUUGGCCUUUGCACAUACAGUUCCGGCUGCAGAGGGUGUUUCUUUUACUGGUACGCGAGGGAGAUGUGUGUCUUCUAUUAGAUAUGACUUUGUUAUGACGGAUGAGGCAUACAAUUUUCUGGCUCAUGUGUAUGCUUCGGGCUCUACUUUUUAGUUUAUUGCUUCCGCAUCUAAUAUAAGUUGUUUGUCUUUCUGCAUUGUAUGUCCUUCUUCGGGCACUUAAUUAUGAAUGAAUGAAGUUUUUGUUGUUUGAGGACAACAAUUAUGAUAUAUGUAUGUGUUGAUGUACUUACACGGGAUUCGUAGAAUUUGCUGUUUGAAGAACCGAAAAGCUAGUAAAACGUACACUUCCAAAUUAAUUGUAAUUGUACACGCUGUACGUAUAAAAUGUACGUACAGUUACCCAAUAGUUUAUUAUUCAAAGUCAAGUAAUUUGAAAACGCCAACAACUUUAUGUAGUUUAAUAAACAAUACUUAAUAUAAAUAUGGUAUUUAAUAAUAAGAAAACGGAAAACAAAUCCCCCUUACUAAAAAACGACCUGCUUGAUCUCUUCCACUUCCGGUGUGUCCGGAUCGGCAAAGACCUUUGACACAGGACCAUGACUCACAACCUUCGGAUUAGCUCUGUCGGUUAAACGCCAGAAGACGAGUGCGACAACAACAUUGCGCUGACCUAGACUCUGAAAGAAGGUUUGGAAUUCCAACGCCUAUUCAUUCUGUGCUUCGCAUUCCAAAACUUCGUUGCUACAUUAGAUUAAAAGAAGAAUCAAGUCAGCGUUUAGAUUAAAAAGUGUAAGUGAAUCAAAUGUCGAAAGAACACUUACUAUCUAUCUUUGAUCUUGAAAGGAAGCUUGAGACCGUAGAAGUCUCCGGUCAAGUGGCCAACCUCCACCAACGCUCCAAUGACAUCUACAUCGAGGGCCAAAAAAAUAGAAAUAAACUUAUAAUUUCAAAAAUGUGUCCAUAAAACGUAACUUAAAAAACAUCUCACCGACUAAAACUUUCUUAUCAACUGUUUUCUCCAAAAUGUAGUCGAAUUGAGUGAAAUCGUAAAAUGAUAUUGGGUCCCUUGGUAAGGCGUUAGUAACGACGGUCUGAUCCAUAACCAUAUGCCGUAGUCAUGAGAUGUUGCUCUCACUGGGUCAGCGACGUUAAGGACCAAGAAAGUGGUUACAAUUUUCCACUCAUUUUCUUUGAUUCGGUCUAGGUAAAAAGGAGCAAGGCGACGAUCAAUGGUGGCCUCGAUACGGGAACGGGAUCCCUACAGAAUAUGAUAUAUAACAGAUUUAUAUACAAUUGAACCUGACGUAUGAUAAAAAAAAACACAAACACGGCAUAGGGAAACUACCGAAUUAUCUGCCAAGAUAAGGCCGAGUUCGAAGACGUUGGGCGCAACAAACUUCUUAAACACUCUCACGACAAAUACACAAAUUGUCCACCCAGUGAUAUGAGGACACAAUUCGGAGAUGGUGUGAUACCCGUCCAUCACACGGUUAGCAAGAACAAUCGAAAGACUUUGUGUUUGAUUGAUGUAACUGCCGAAUAUGAAAGGGUUUUCGUUUGAAGGAACGUGGAUAAAAUUGAGGAGGAGAUGUGGCUUAAAUAAGGAAAUUCCAUAAUGGACGCAGUGGGUAGUGCGAAAGUGUUCCAACGGUUGAGAUACAAAUGUGUGUAACCGUUUGUACCGUUUUUUUCAUGAAGAUUAUACGUACACAGACAUAACAAAAACGUACACUAACAAAAACGUACACUAACAAAAAUGUACAUAGUUAUACGAUGGCAAACAUUAAAUGUACGUACACCGUCACAACACUUUGGUACACACGGUCCACACAUAAACGUACACUGUCUUCGCGGCGACAUAAAGCUUAUGAGGAGAUCUAAAUAGGAUUUUUGCAAGUCUUCUUGUUAUGACCUGCUUGUCUACAUCGUGUGCACUGAUUCGGAAUAAGUCUUUUCUGUCUCUUUUUCUGAAGUGACAACAACAAUAAGUUAAUAAUCAACACAUCUUAUACUCAAAACAUAAUGUUGUGGGAUAUUUGAAAAAUGUGUACAUGUUUGAAUGAUAGCACUUACCCGGUUUUCACCUCUAGAUGGAAUCCUUUUGGUUGUUGGUCUUCCUGGUGGUCGUCUACUGUUUGGAGGAAUUAGUAUCAAAUCCGAUAUAUGUUGUGGGAUGACAACAUCCUUCGGAUCCGCGAUAGGUAGAAUCGGUUCUUGAAAAGAAUCAGAAAACGUUUGAAGGCCAUACCACCAUCCGACAACAACCUUCGGAUCUAUUCCAAACUCGAUUGCAGCUGCUAGACCGUGUUCACAUGGGAUUCUCAACUUUGUGUACCUAAGACACGUACACGUACAAGUCAUGAAAAUGCUCACCUGACUUGCUUGUAACUUGAUAACUCCACGGUCCAGACAUCUUAACCGCGAAUUUCCCUGACGCAGGCAAAUCUUGGAGAAAACGCUCAUCAACCUCAAGCGUCACUAAAGACUUACACCUAGCCACUUUUUGCCUCCUCGCUGCGAACCAUCGCAUUAGGACCUCUCGAAUGAACUCUAUCAUGUACACAAUCGUAUAUGAUACCAUCGCAUUAGGACCUCUCGAAUGAACUCUAUCAUGUACACAAUCGUAUAUGAUUUGGCUUUUGUUAAGACAUUGUUGCUAGACAUGAUAUUGUAGCGUUCCCCUUUUACAGUGAGCUCUUGUCCAAUGCUCAAAUCCAAUUUUCUCUAAGUAAUUUGCGCAUGCAGCACUCUUAGCCCUUAACUGUUCGAAGUAUUUUUCAAAAUCCCUCACUCUGUAAGCUUUAGCAGCGCUGAAAAAUAAUCCAUAUACACCAUACUUACCAUAAUAGGUGGAGAUAUUUCGCUCAAGGUGUACUGCACAUGCUCCAUGAUGAGCUUUCGGAUAAGCCACACUGAGGCCUUUAUAUAUUGAAGAAUGUUUGUCCGAUACAAUCAUUAAAUCUUCACUGUCUGGAACAAUGUCAGCUAAUUUAUCAAAGAACCACACCCAUGAAGCAUCAGUCUCACCAUCCACAACACCAAACGCUAUUGGAAAUAUUUGGAAGUUCCCGUCUUGGGCACAUGCAAUGAGGAGACAUCCCUUGUAACGUCCUACUGGCUGCGUUCCAUCUACGACAAUUACCUUCCUCAUAUACUUCAGACCUUUUAUAGAAGCCCCGAGAGAUACAAAAGCAUACUUAAAGCGCUGCGUACCAGCAGCUUCAGGUGUAGAGUGUAGGUGAGUUAUCGUACCCGGAUUAGCUAAUUUAAGAAGAUACAAAUAGGUAGGCAAAAACCUGUAACUUUUUAUAUCAUCCCCCCUUACAUUUUCCACUGCAACCACUUUAGCUCUCCAAGCGGUAGAAUAAGAAAUCCGAACAUUGAGAUCAUUUAGGAGCAACUGUGGUAAAUCGACAGCUCUCGGACCCCCUUGCGUAGAACUGUAUCUGCUCUUCACUACCUCUCCGAGAAGCUUAUAACUAGCAUGUUUAUUAUAAUUCUUACGAGUGUCGAUGUCACACGUAUGGGUGGUAUCAUACGAUGUGAUUUUGAAACAUUCUGAAUUCUUGACAACUUGAGCUGUCAAAUGCCAUGGACAAGUAUCAUCAACGCAGACCAUCUCCAAUCUUGUAGGACAUGACCUACGUUGCUUGUAGCAAAAGCAUUGUUUGAUUACGAGAUAAGACAUUGUUUGUUGUAUGACUUUUCUGUUCUUAAAAACACUCCCGACAUACAAAGUCUCACCUGUUGUACUCAGUUCAACUUGUGUCUCAUCAUCUCGUAAAUUGGCUAAAUCAUCGAAUACCGGUGCAGCAUCAUUAUCGAGAAUCUCCAACUCGCCACCAUGUAAUGAAGAAAAGUCAUUAUACACUUCGUAAGCCUCAGCUGCGGUAACUAACCGAUUAUCAUUCAGUGUCCCACUUGCGGAAGCUCUAAUACCACGGUCGAUGAAGUCAUCCCUAGUGACUUCGUAUAUACCAUUAAUAUUAGUAUCCGUGUUACCUUCGCAGCCUGUAUCUUGUACACACUCUGUAGUGUACGUACAUUGGUACAAACUAUGUUGACACGUACGUCUUGGAGUCACGGUUGGUGUACGGUCACCCGAAUGAGAAAUGUUAUCUCCGCCAGGUGCAGUAACUAGCCGAUUAUCAUUCAGUGUCCCACUUGGGGAAGCUCCAAUACCACGGUCGAUAACAUCAUCCCCACAGACUUCGUCUAUACCAUUAAUAUUGGUAUCGGUGUUACCUUCGCAGCCUGUAUCUUGUACACAUUCUGUUGUGUACGUACAUUGGUACAAACCAUGUUGACACGUACAUCUUGGAGUCACCGUUGGUGUACGGUCAACCGAGUUAUCUCCCCCAAGUACACGAUGACUUGUGUACGUACACUCUGCCAAUAGACGACUGAAUUCCCCUGGAUGUUGAACCGUUUGUUGAGUGAGAAUGACGUCCUCCUCAACAUUCCCUAUUCCAUAUUCUUCAAUAAUUACAUCGUUCCACUUGUUGUAAUCGUAAUCUUCGCCACUGCCUUCACUACCGUCUAUAGUAUGAUCGAGGGUACUUCCCCCCCAUAGAUCCAUCAUCACCCUGAUAAUCAUCAUACCCAGCACCAUCUUCGUUGUCCUCCUCCUCUUCUUCAUCCUCAUCUGUUUUAUCGUCUUCAACGUCGUCUUGCUCAUCUACGGCCUCAUUAUUUCCAUCUACAUUUGAAGCCGCUACGAUGGGAUUUGGUGUCGUUGCACUCCCACACACACGGUAACUCUCACCAUCGCCACCAUCGGUCAUACGGACAGUAUUCCCGAGUGCAUUGACGGUUGUAAUGAAAGAGACAAACAAGGUGACACUAGGAUCCCCACCACGAAUCAAAAAGAAGGUAUCCAGGCUCAUUUGAUUGUCAAUGUAGACAGGAGGGCGUUUACUUUCUAUCAUCACUGACAUCUUUCCCGGCAUCCAGUAACUAAUUAUUGGAUUGCAUUCGGUGGACUUCAAACUGAAAACCUCGCAUAAUGUACGUACAAAUUCCGUGUACGUCAUGUUUUCCCUAACACGUACACAACGACCAAACCAGCCUUCCCAUGGUUCAAAUUUCCAUUCUUCUUCUUUGCAUCUCCACGCACCCACCAUAGUAAAUACGGGAAUAUCCAUUACCCACCUGCAUCAUAAAUUCAGCAGAACCCCAUUAAAUGCAAAUGAAAGCAUGACUAUAUCUACAAAAACAAAAAGAAAUCCCAACUACACACUUAUAAACAUAAAUCUAUCCUCAUUUAGCAUUUUCAACUAAAAAAAAUUGGAGAUAAAAAUAUUCUGGGUUUUUAUACAAAAACAAUGUUGAUUUCGAACACAAUCAAGACCCUAGUGUGUUAAAACAAAAAACUUCUUAACCAAUUUCAUUACUUACACGAUCAAUGCUUGUCUUGGCUCCAAACUUUGUAAAUCAAAAGAUCAAAACGUCUCCAGCAUCACAUUCGUUCAGAAUAAUUUGUUUGUUUGAUGGAUCAGGUUUGUCUCUUACAACUAUUCACACAUAUAAACUAAUAUUAGAAAAAGUAAUGAUGACUUUUGCAUUAAUUGUGACAUGAGUCAUGUCUAAACUUUUUGGGCAUUAAUAUUAAUCAAGAAGACAUUUUAUUCUAACUAAGUAAUAGUUAUGAAUGAAAUGUGUUUCUUGUUAUGCAAGUAACUGGUUUGAAUAAGAGGAAGAGAGGUAACGGUCAUCUUGGACCGUACGGACGCGGGAAGGAGACCAUCCUUAUCCGGAUGGUGCUAAGCGCGUGUACGGCCGUGUCGUGUAGUGUAUGACCGUUGUCAUGAGCUGGAAAGUGGCUAAAGUACACGGUGACUCACUAGGCUGAAUGAGGAUGCUUUUAAGGUUAUGUGCAUACCCAUCUUGACCUAGUGAGCUCCCUAUAUAAAUCGUGUGCAGCCCCAAACCAUUUGUAACUUUUAUCACAUUACAAUCAAUCAUCUUUCUCUCUAUUAUUCACCAUGUUCAUCUCUAUCCUUCCUACUUGAUUCUAAAUCUUUUCAUGGUAUCAGAACGUUCGGUUCUUGAAUCUUUUCCCUCUUAAUCUUAGCUUUUCGAUUUCUCUUCUUUGAGUUCUGUUCCUUGGUUUGCGAGAUUGGGUUUCAUCUUAUUUCCGGGUUUUGCUGUUCUUGGGGUAGAGUUUCUUAAAGUCUUUGGUGAGGAUUCCAUUCACAAGAGUUAGGAUAUCUUUGAAGCGAUUUAAAGGUUUUCUAAGGAGUUUAGGUUGGGUUCAUAACUAAAGGUUGAAGCUUUAUCACUAAAGGUUGAAGCUUUAUCUCGGGUUUGAGUUUUGAACGGUUCAAAAUCGAGUCUUUACUCUUGUAAGAUGGCGCUUGUGGUUCAAGAAGUAAACAAGGCUUACAAAGAUCUGAAAUUUCCGGUUGCUUUGAAUGGAAACAACUAUCUCUUAUGGAAGAGAACAACGACGAAUGUAUUGGGUGGGAGAAGACUCACAAGAUACAUUGAGUCUACCUAUGAAGAAGCGAAAGCUUUGGAAGAAAGCUUGGUCAAAGAGACUUGGACGCAAGAAGACUUGACGGUUCUGAGUGCUCUCCAUUGCUCUCUUGAGGCUUCACUCUUGGAAGGGUAUUCGUAUUGCGAGACAUCUAAAGAGCUAUGGGAUACACUUGCCAAUGUUUUCGGUAACGAGUCAAACUUGACAAGGGUAUAUGAGCUCAAGAAGACUCUCGGAAGCCUAAGUCAAGAAGACAAUGAUUUUAAUACUCAUUUUGGGAAGUAUAGGUCUCUAGUUGCUGAACUAGAGAUGCUAAGGCCAUUCACCACCGAAGCCACAACACUUAAAGAUCGCCGAGAGCAAGAUCGUGUCUUCGGGUUGUUGAUGACGCUUAAUCCUACUUAGACAGAUGUGAUUCAACACAUUCUAAGGGAUGACAAGAUUCCUACCUUGGAGCAAGUGUGUGCAAAGAUACAAAAGGAGUUUGGAUCACAAGGGCUAUUCGGCACUAAAGGUGAAAAUCUGCCUACGGCAAACAAGGCGGGGUUCGUGAAACAUAAGGACAAGAAGGCGUCGGUUUGUGACCAUUGUAACAAGAAGGGUCAUACCAAAGAAGAUUGCUGGAUUCUACACCCCCAUUUGAAGCCGGAGAAGUUCAAGAAUCUUAAGUCGAAGGCGAAUGUGGCCAAUGUGAGUGACGGUGGACAAGAGAAUGAAGAGAGGGCUAUUGUUCAGUAUGGUCAACAAGAGAAGGCGUUGCAAGCCACGAUUCAAGAUAAGGGCUGUGGAUCAUCGUCUCAAACUCAAGAAACCAUUGUGAUGAACAAGGCGGACCUCGAAUCUCUCAUUCAAUCAAUCGCAUCAAAAUUCAUUACCGGCGGUAUUUCUCUCUUUACUUCUAAUUCUCAUGAUCCAAAGUCAUUAGUAUUAGACUCAGGAGCUUCUCACCAUAUGAUAAGUAAUCCUAAGUUGUUAGAGAACAUUAAACCGGCUUUAGGAAGUGUUAAAGUUGCGAAUGGACAGAAUGUGCCGAUUGAAGGAAUAGGUAGUAUAAACCUAUUUAGUAAACGUUCUAGUGCUUUCUAUAUGCCUAAGUUUACUUCGAACUUACUCUCAGUUAAGAAGACUACUAGAGACUUAAAUUGUCUUGCUAUUUUUAGUCCUAAUGAUGUGAAAUUGCAGGAUAUUAAGAGUGGUAAUGUGUUUGGACAAGGUGGUACUAAAGAUGAUCUCUACGUGCUUGAAGACACUUCUCUUAACUCUAUCUCUAAUAAUGUUGCUUCUUAUAUGAUUGCGAACAAUGUUAAAGCUUCGGUUGUUUUAUGGCACAAUAGACUUGGUCAUCCUCAUUCUAGAGCUUUGAAUUUACUUUUACCGGGUUUCUCUUAUGAUUGUGCUAAAUGUGAAGCAUGCAUUUUAGGAAAACAUUGCAAAGUAGUCUUUCCCAAAUCAAAUACUAUUUAUGAAAAAUGCUUUGAUCUUGUGCAUUCGGAUGUUUGGACUUCACCUUGUGCAUCUAGAGAUAAUCAUAAAUAUUUUGUCACUUUUAUAGAUGAGAAAUCAAAGUAUACUUGGGUAACCUUGCUUCCAUCUAAGGAUAGAGUUUAUGAUGCAUUUAUAAACUUCCAAAAUUAUGUGACUAAUCACUUUGAUGCCAAGAUUAAGAUCCUUAGAACAGACAAUGGAGGAGAGUACACAAGUACUAAGCUCAAAACACACUUGGAAAAAUGUGGAAUUCUACACCAAACAAGUUGCCCAUACAACCCUCAACAAAAUGGUGUUGCCGAAAGGAAGAAUAGACACCUAAUGGAGGUGGCAAGGGCGAUGUUGUUUGAGAAACACAUGCCAAAGCGGUUUUGGGGAGAUGCCGUGUUAACUUCAUGUUAUCUCAUAAACCGAAUACCAACCUGUAUCCUUAAUGAUCAAUCUCCUUUUCAAGUUUUGAAUAACCAAAGUCCUAACAUUGAUCAUUUAAAGGUAUUUGGAAGUGUGUGUUUUGUUUUUGUUCCAGGUGACUUGAGGAACAAACUAGAGCCGAAAAGCACUAAGUGUGUUUUCAUUGGAUACUCAACAACGCAAAGAGGUUAUAAGUGCUAUGAUCCGGUCAUGAAUAGGUACUAUGUAUCUAGGGAUGUAAAGUUCAUGGAAGAUGAAGCUUAUUUCGGAGAGAAGAGUUGGGAAGGUGUGAAAGACUUACCAAAUUCAACUUCGGAUAGAGCUAGAAGUCUUAGGCACAUUCUUGAACAUUUGAGUAAUGGAUGCUCUCGUCAAGAAGAGAGAGAAGCCACACCAAAUGAUAGUACUAUUGAAGCUCAAGAGAGUGGUAAUGACAUAGCUCAAGAGAGGGGUAAUGACAUAUCACAAGAAGCUUCGGAUAACCAACAAGGAAUGGAUAGAGAAGAAAGGUCUAGUGAAGAAGUGGUAGAAGAGAAUCCAUCUAAUAAAAGGGAGGUCAUUGAAUCUUCAAGCGAUGAUGAGACAUAUCAAGCUCCACAAGUAACACAAGACUCCAUCUACACUAGAGAGAAUCCAAGAAAGAGCAUGAGAGAGAGGAAAUCUCCAUCUAAUUGGAAGAAUACUAGAGUGUACUACAAUUGUCAAGCCGUGGCUCAUCCAAUUCAAGCGACAUGUUCGAUUGACCUUCUUCCCGAAGAACAUAAGGCUUUUCUUAGCAAGCUAGACGUGGAGUUUGUCCCACAAAGAUAUGAGGAAGCUAAGGGAAUCAAGGAAUGGGACAAUGCGGUUGAUGAUGAGGUACAAGCUAUGUUAAGAAAUCAUACAUGGGAUGAAGAAGAGCUACCACAAGGCAAGAAGUGUGUGAGUUCGAAAUGGGUGUUUACUAUUAAGUAUAAGAGUAAUGGAGACAUAGAAAGAUACAAGGCGAGAUUAGUGGCAAGAGGGUUUACUCAAACGUAUGGUGAUGAUUAUCGAGAGACAUUUGCUCCGGUAGCUAAGCAACAUACGGUGAAAGUAGUUCUUUCUUUGGCUGUUAACUUGGAUUGGGAAUUAUGGCAAAUGGAUGUUAAGAACGCAUUUCUUCAAGGAGAGCUGGAAGAAGAAGUCUAUAUGACCCCUCCUCCGGGUUUGGAGAACUUGGUAGCUCCGAGAAAAGUGUUAAGACUCCGCAAGGCUAUAUACGGUCUAAAGCAAUCUCCAAGAGCUUGGUACCAUAAGCUAAGCUCCACGUUAAAGGCUAAUGGAUUCAAGAAAUCAGAAUCUGAUCACACCUUGUUUACUCUCCAAAAUGAUCAAGGCAUUGUAGUUGUCUUAAUCUAUGUUGAUGACUUGAUCAUCUCGGGGAGUAACAAGGAAGGUAUUAAGUCUAUCAAAACCUCUUUACACAAUGCUUUUGACAUUAAAGAUCUUGGUGUGUUGAAAUACUUUUUAGGUAUCGAAGUGUGUAGAUCACCGGAGGGUCUAUUUCUCUCACAAAGGAAAUACACACUCGAUCUUCUAAAGCUUACGGGAAAGCUAGGAGCCAAACCGGUUUCAACACCAUUAGAGCCAGGAUAUAAGGUCAAUCGAAAGGGGGAGAAGGAUGAUAGACCAUAUCAUUGCCCGGAGCAAUAUAGAAGACUUGUGGGUAAGUUAAUCUAUUUGACCUACACUCGGCCUGAUAUCUCUUUUGCAGUGAAUCAGGUGAGUCAACACAUGAAAGAACCCACGGUGUACCAUUGGAGUAUGGUAGAUAGGAUUCUAAAGUAUCUCAAAGGGAGCCCCGACCAAGGCAUUUGGAUGGGAAAGAACUCAAGCACGGAGAUAGUUGGGUAUUGUGAUGCGGAUUAUGGUGGAGAUCGUAAUGAUAGACACUCGACAACCGGCUUUUGCACCUUCAUUGGGGGAAACUUAGUGACUUGGAAGUCAAAGAAGCAAAAGGUGGUGUCAUGUUCAAGUGCUGAAGCGGAGUAUAGAGCUAUGAAGAAGCUUACAAAUGAGUUGACAUGGUUAAAGGCGCUUCUUAAAGACUUUGGGAUAGAGCAAAAGACGCCCAUCACAUUUCAUUGCGAUAACCAAGCGGCUAUUCACAUCGCCAACAACCCGGUGUUUCACGAGAGAACCAAACAUGUGGAGAUAGACUGCCACAAGACUAGAGAGAAGAUCCAAGAUGGUACUAUCUUACCGUCACUACAAGAAAACCUGCAUUUUGGGACUACAUUUUUGUGACUCUUUUUUGGUCACAAAUAUUUGUAACGAUUGUGUGAUUAUUUUGCGACUAAUGAACGACUACACACAAAGUAGUGGCAAAACAGUCACAAAUUUACGACCAAAAAAUGUAGUCAGUAAAUCGUCUGAUAUUCACGACUGUUAUCAGACUAUUAACUGACUAUAUUGGUAUGGUCGCAAAAUAAUCGUAAAUUGAGACGAAUUAGAGACACUUUUUUAGUUGGAAUCUUUGGUCACAACGUAGUCCCAUAUUUGCAACGUAUUUGUGACUUCAAUUGUUUUAGCCAUUUUAAGUUUUUACUCAUUAAACUGAGACAUCUCUUUUAAAAUUCUAACAUUGAGUGAUUGUAGAAUCAUAUGUACAAUUUGUUUUUACUCUUAUACUUUAAAAUUUAUUUGGUUUGUGUCAUAAAAUAGCGUCACAAAACUUGUGACUGUUUUGUGACUACUUUACAAUUUUCGCGAUUUUAUUUAGAUAUUUACCAAUUGAAAAUUGAAAAUAUGUUAAGUUUUAAAGGUUUUUACAACGAUUUGUACUACUAUAGAUAUUAUAGCAUGAUAAUACCAAAAAAACUUGAAUUUAUUAAUGUUUUAAACAAAAUUCCUAAACUUUCAUAAGGGUUAUAUGUGAUGUUAACUAAUGGUUUUUGAAAUUUCUUAAUUUUCUUUGCAUUUCAUGUUUUUACUUAAUAAACUAAUCGAUCUUGUUUAGUAUUAUAAUUUCAUUGAUUAUACCAUUAUGGAGAUAACUUUUUUGGGUCUUAAACUUUAAAAUUCAUAUGAAUAGUGUUGUGACUCAUAAAAAUUCGCCACAAAAGAGUAGCAGUUUGUGACUGUCUGAAGGAAAUGUUACAAACAAGUCACUAAAUACCCACAUAUAUGCGACUUAUUUGUGACUGACACCUGAGAUUGGGACGAUUUUGCUACCUUUGAGCAACCCUCGUGAUUUUAUUAAGAGAUUUACCAAUAGAAAAUUGUUAAUAUGUUAAGUUUCACGGUUUCUACAUUGAUUAUAACUACUAUAGAUACUGAAAUAUUACAAUACCAAAAAAAAUUAAAGUUUUCAAUGUUUUAAACAAAAUUCCUAAACUUACAUAAGGGUUAUAUGUGAUGUUAACUUAUGGUUUUUGAAAUUUCUUAAUUUUCUUUGCAUUUCAUGUUUUUACUUAUUAAAUUGAUUGAUCUUCAUUAGUAUUACAAUUUCAUUGAUUGUAACAUUAUAUACAGAACCUUUUUGGGUCUUAAGCUUUAAAAUUCAUAUGAAUAGGGUUGUGACUCAUAAAAAUUCGUCACAAAAGAGUAGCAUGUUGCGACCGUCUGAAGGAAAAGUUACAAACAAGUCACUAAAUACCUACAUAUAUGCUACUUAAUUGUGACUGACAACUGAGAUUGAGGCGAUUUUGCAACCUUGUAGCAACCCUCGUGAUUUUGUUAAGAUAUUUACUAAUAAAAAAUUGUUAAUAUGUUAAGUUUCAUGGUUUCUACAUUGAUUUUAACUACUAUAGAUACUGAUUCAUUAAUAUACCAAAAAACACUUACAAGUUUUCAAUGUUUUAAACAAAUUUCCUAAACUUACAUAAGGGUUAUAUGUGAUGUUAACUUAUAGUUUUAAUUUUUUUUUAGUUUUUUUGCAUUUCAUGUUUUUCACAUUAAUUGAUGUUAUUUAGUAUUGUAAUUUAAGUGACUAUAACAUUUUACAUAGAUCUUGUUUGGUUAUUAAGCUUUAAAUUCAUAUGAAUAUAAUUCUGCUCAUAAACAUUAGUCACAAAAGAGUUACACUUUUUGACUACUCUUAAAAAACCGAUAUUACACUUAGUUACACUUCUCAAUUCUCAUUGGCUAAUCUUUAAUGACAAGGAUUGCCUUUUGGGCUACCAAACACCGUCGAUAGAGUCCAUCCAACGGACAAAAUCAUCUCAAAAUUUCCCUUCUCUCUCGUCCAUAAUUCUUUCCUUUUCUAUAAUCAAUUUUUUUUCCUCCUUACUUUUUCUCCUCUGUUCUCUUUCUCGCCGUAUCCUCUUCGUCAAGUUCAUGUGAAAUCAUGAAACUCAGAGGAUUAAAUCUUUAUUCAAUCAAUCAAUGAUUCCUAGAAGGUUAGUUCUCUCUUUUUUCAAAUAUGGAGAUCGAUCUAGGGAAAUCGAGAUUUUGUUAUGUGUUUUAAUUAUUUUUUUGGCAGAUCUGAAGAAUUCGUUAUUUGUAUUUUGGGUUUCAUUAGUAGAUCUGAAGAAUCAACGUUAACGAAAAUGGUGAAUCUAAAGAACUGGAGACGUCGGAGGUCGUGGUGGUAGCUUAGGACCACUGUUAAAGACGAUGACGUUCACCACCACCACCACAUCUGGAAGCCUCCGCCAAUUCACCCCCAACAUACGUGAACUCGAACCCUCCACCGUUGCAUCUCAGAUCCUCUGGCCGCCGCCAUGGUUUUGUUCUCCGACGCCUACGGUCGCUCCGUCCAUCGUCGAUGUCAAUUUUGUAUAAAUGUAUAGAUAUAUAUAUAUAUAUAUAUAUAUAUAUAUAUAUAUAUAUUGUAUUUGUCUGUUUGUAAUGAAUUUAAAAAUAAAUAAAAUUAUAUUUCUUUCAUUUUAUUUAAUUUGUAUAUUAAAAUUAGUUUGUUUUUUUUUUAAAUUUUUUUUUUUGUAGUUUGUUACUAAAAGGUCGCUAAUAUACCAUUCCACUUACAGUCACAAUUUGGUCUCUAAUAUACGACUAUUAAUAUCCGUCACUAAACCGUCGUUUAUGUACGACUACAUAAAUCCGUCUCAAAAGCGUCAUAAAUAUGCGACAUUUAUGCGACCAUUUUAUUUAGCGACUGUUUUUUAGCGACCAACUUAAAUAGUCACAAAAUAGUCGCAAAUAGCGAUUUUACGACCGUUUCAGGACUAAUUUAGGAGUCACAAAAAGCUUGUUUUCUUGUAGUGCGUGUUACACUGAAAGUUCGGACCAAUUGGCCGAUAUCUUUACCAAGGCAGCAAGUACCCAAGCUUGCAAGUUUAUUCAUGGCAAACUCGGACUUGUAGACCUAACACACCCUUGAGAGAACUUCCCUGCUUAUGUCAAUGAUACUCUUUUUCCCUAAGAUUGGUUUUGUCCCACGUGGUUUUCCAAUCUUAGGUUUUUAACGAGGUCACUCGCAUAAGUGUCAAGUUUAUAACAAUGAUUAUUGUAGUAUAAACUUGAGGGGGAGUAUUGAUCAAGAAGACAUUUUAUUCUAACUAAGUAAUAGUUAUGAAUGAAAUGUGUUUCUUGUUAUGCAAGUAACUGGUUUGAAUAAGAGGAAGAGAGGUAACGGUCAUCUUGGACCGUACGGACGCGGGAAGGAGACCAUCCUUAUCCGGAUGGUGCUAAGCGCGUGUACGGCCGUGUCGUGUAGUGUAUGACCGUUGUCAUGAGCUGGAAAGUGGCUAAAGCACACGGUGACUCACUAGGCUGAAUGAGGAUGCUUUUAAGGUUAUGUGCAUACCCAUCUUGACCUAGUGAGCUCCCUAUAUAAAUCGUGUGCAGCCCCAAACCAUUUGUAACUUUUAUCACAUUACAAUCAAUCAUCUUUCUCUCUAUUAUUCACCAUGUUCAUCUCUAUCUUUCCUACUUGAUUCUAAGUCUUUUCAAUUAAAUCCUGAUGUCUCAUUGUUUUUUAAUGUUAUUAAUCCCCAUUUGUCACUGUACUCCCGCAGAAAUCAAUUAAGAACGAAAUAUAUUGCUUAACCGGAACAGUGUACGUAACUGAACCGCUAAACUGAACCGUACAGUGAACAGUGCAUCGGUACGCUGGUAGGGGUAAAAUGGUCAAAUUUUGGCUAAAUUAUCAAAACUUGAAAGCCAAUUCUCACUUUGCCAAAACAUGAAAUUAAAACUUGGUCUUAUGCUCUGCCAUGCAAUUUACUCUUGUUAAUAAUAAUAAAUUAAUCACAUUUAAACAUUUGACCAAAAACCGUUUCUGCAAGUUGAAGUAAUUUGGGCAACCAAUGGAAGGAUUACCGAUUACGUUUGCAAAUUGUGCUACUAACUUACUAUAACGACAUAUUAUAUUCUAGAAAAAUGAAAUGCAUGUGGUUAUGAAAAUUUCAAAAUUUGAUUUGUGUUAAGAAAAGCAUGUGGUUAAAAAAAACUGAUGUGUAAUGUGUUACUUACUAAUUAUAUGCUUUUUCGUCCAAAAAAAAAAAAAAGGAUGUGGUUACGAAAAUUUGAUCUGUGACGACUUGUUGUAAUAUUAUUCGAUCGUUUGUCAUAAUCUUAUCCGGACAAGGGACAACACAUGAUUAGUAAUGUAAUUAGAGAAAAGGACCAUAAUGCUCUUAAAUCUUUUAAAUAAAAUGUUAAAUGUUAUCUUCACAUUAAAAAAUAAAAACAAACAUAUAGUAUUGGACGUUAUUUUCACAUUACACAAUAUGACAAAAACUUUUAGAUGUUAAUAUUUAACAUUAUUAUUACAAGAUGACACAAACUCGUCUUCAUACUUUAACAUCGUUCAGUGUGCACCACAUGCGAGUAGGGUAGUCUCUAUAUAUAAAUUCGAAUCUAUAAUACAGCCUGGUCUUUGAUUUGUACUUAAAAUCGUUUAAAUUUUUUCUUCUUCUUCACUAACUAGCUCAUUGAUUCGUUUAAACUCCAUCAAGGUACGACUCUUUUUGUUUUCGGUUGUGUUCUGUUAGAUUUUUGAUAUAUAAAUUAUCUGGUUUUCAGUUUUCACUGUUCUUUGUUCUGUUUUCUUACCCUUUCUUGAUCCCGAGUGCCAAGUUUGUUCAUGAAUCUUGUGAAUUGGUAAAUAGAGCCUUUAAUUUGACUUUUGAAUCUCAUACUAUGGACAUAAUCUCUUUACCUCUUCUAUGGUUAUUGCCUUAUUGGACUCCAUAAUCCUUGUAGCCAAAUAUUAAAUUUUCAGUAGUUUCAGAAAACAGAACAACAUGGAAGAUCGGUGCUCGAUCAAGAACGAUGUCACUGAAGUAAAAAUCUCUAAGUUCUUAUGUAUCACUUUACUUUCUUGAAAUAAAGAACGUGUGUAAGAUCAUUUGAUAUGAUUGUGCAGUUGAUUGGUAACACACCAAUGGUGUAUCUGAACAAUGUUGUUGAUGGCUGCGUGGCUCGUAUCGCUGCAAAGCUUGAGAUGAUGGAGCCUUUCUCUAGUGUCAAAGACAGAAUCGCGUAUAGUAUGAUCAAAGAUGCAGAGGAGAAAGGAUUGAUUACUCCCGGAAAGGUUAAUAGAAACAUUUAAAGUUAUCAUAUAAUUUUCUCCAAUUUCAUAGAUGGAAUUAAAUUGUUUUUUAUUGAUUAUAUAGAGUACAUUGAUUGAGCCAACGGCUGGUAACACCGGGAUUGGUUUAGCCUGUGUCGGAGCUGCAAGAGGCUAUAAAGUGAUCCUUGUGAUGCCUUCAACUAUGAGUUUAGAGAGAAGAAUCAUUCUUAAGGCAUUAGGUGCAGAGCUUCAUCUCUCGGAACAGCGGAUAGGCCUUAAAGGAAUGUUGGAGAAAACCGACGCGAUAUUAAGCAAAACUCCUGGUGGUUACAUUCCACAACAGUUUGAAAAUGCUGCAAACCCCGAAGUUUGUAUAAUAAUAUCAUGCAUCCACCAAGAAUAUGUAUCCUUUGAGUCUCUCUGUUAUGGUUGAAUUCAAGUUUGUAUCCUGCAGAUUCAUUACCAAACCACGGGGCCGGAAAUAUGGAGAGAUUCAGCUGGGAAAGUAGAUAUAUUGGUUGCUGGUGUUGGGACUGGUGGAACAGCUAGUGGAGUAGGGAAGUUCCUCAAGGAGCAGAAUAAAGACAUAAAGGUUCAAAAAACUUCACCAAUUCUUGAAAACAACUAACACAUUGGUUUUUUUUUUUUUAAAUAAUUCGGUUACAAUCUUGAUCUAUAGGUUUGUGUGGUGGAACCAGAAGAAAGUCCGGUACUUAGCGGAGGCCAACCAGGUUAGAAAAUGAGCAUUUGAUAUUUGAUAGAUCUUAUGCAACAAAUAUUAUUUAGCUUUUGUUUGGUAUGAGAUCCAACGUAUAUAUAUAGUGAGAACAUUAACAUACGCUCCAAGUUAUCUUCAAGAUCAUCGUUCUUUUGUCCGAGUUCUUACAUUUCUAAUGAUAAUAUCGGUUCUUGGGACUUCAUAUUUGUAGGUCCACAUUUGAUCCAGGGAAUUGGCUCUGGAAUCAUCCCAUUCAAUUUGGACUUAACAAUUGUUGAUGAAAUUAUUAAAGUAAGUAAGCCUGAGAUGAUCUACUUCUUGAUCUUGAACAAGCAAUCUAAGAUCUGGAAUCUUUUGAUUUAGGUGACAGGUGAGGAAGCUAUUGAAACAGCCAAGCUUCUUGCCCUCAAAGAAGGAUUAUUGGUAUACUCGGUUAACGUUGUUUUCUCGGUGUAAUAAACCCGAAAUUUGACAAAAACAAAAAUGAAGUUUCUGUUAAAUGUGAUCACUCAUUUGGCAGGUGGGAAUAUCCUCUGGAGCCGCAGCAGCGGCUGCGUUAAAGGUUGCAAAGCGGCCAGAAAACACAGGAAAACUCAUUGCAGUAAGCUCUGUCUCUGACUCUGACUGACCAUAAGCUUUGACUUAACCGAACUAUUACCGGGUUUGUUAAUAUCCCGGUUAUUGUUUGGUUUGCAGGUGGUUUUUCCCAGUGGGGGAGAACGUUAUCUAUCGACUAAAUUGUUCGAUUCGGUUAGAUAUGAAGCAGAGAAUUUGCCUAUUGAGUAUUGAAUGAAUUGGAUUAUGGGGGACGUAUGAUUCGGUUUGGUUUGGUUAAGAGAUGUUGCUACCAAGAUUACAGUUUGAUUACUACUGGUCACUGUAAAAUCUAGAUAACUUAGACAUUCGAUGAUGAAUAAUUAUAAUUGUGGUUUUUCAUUAACUAUUUGUAUAUUUCUACUGUAAUCCCCGGUAUAAAACAUGAACUUUGAUAAAACAGAAUCAUUUACAUGGAAAACCAUUGACUCUUUGGUUUGAUGUUUCUAAUGAACAUUUUUGGUUUGGUCUGUGUUUAUACAUUCUCAACAAUUACUCUAUCUUUAACUAUUUUUUGUAUCAAUUGCAAUUGCAAAGUUCCUCUUUUAUCUAAAAUUCUCUAUUCAAUCGAUUAGAUUUUUCAUAUUUGUAAAGAAAAACAAUACAUUUAUUACAAAAAAACUCUCUCUUUCUGGGCGACUCUAGAAGCGACUCAACAGUAGUUCACCGCCUUAAUUUCUUCAGUGAUUUCGACUUCCGCCGGCAGCGGAUUCUCUUUCCGGUUAUCGGAUCUAUUAAUUUCUCAUCAUGGGUGAAAAAGAUCUGUGGCUUGCUUUGCAAAAUCUCAAUUUAGGCUCGGAGAGGACACCCUUGACGCUAUCCGUAGAGGCAAAUAAGAAGCGAGAAACGGAUCAUCGCCUCAGUCUUGUGGUAAAAGGUUUGCAUCCCUCACAGAACCCAGCAGGUAUCAAGGUCAUUAUGCCAAAAAUUUGGAAACUUGAAGGGCGAAUCACAAGCCGAAUCAAUGAAGAUGGUUCUGUCCAAAUUUUCUUUCAACAUGAACAUCAAAUGCUUACAGUUCUGGACAAGGGACCAUGGACCUAUAAAGAUUGGCUGGUGGUUGUUGACAAAUGGACUCGAAGGAAUUAUCCUGAUUAUCUCUGUGUAAUCCGUUUUUGGAUCAAAAUCCUAAAUAUACCUGAUGAUUGCAAGGAAGAUAGAUCGAUUAAGGAGAUUGGGGGUGUUUUGGGUUUAAAUCAUGUGGAGGAAGUCUUCAUACAACAACCAAUUGCAGACAAAGCUGGUGAAGUAUGGGUUCGUGUUCCUUUUGACAUAUCAGGAAAGUUAAUCUUUGCACGUUAUUUCACUUUGGAAGAUCAUCGUGAGCCUGUUCUGAUUCGCUAUAUUUAUGAAAAACUUAGAAAGUUUUGUUCUACUUGUGGGAGCCUCACCCAUAUGGCAGCAACUUGCAACACCCACAUUCAGGAAGUGGAACCACUCCCUCUGCCAGCUCCUAUACAUGAGUCCAAUAUGGAGCAAAACAGAGAUACUAAUAUCCAGAUGGAUUCUGAAUCUCACACACCCACACAAGUAGCUGAUGAUACCAUGGGUGAAACAGUGGGAUCCAAUAUCAAUAUGGACACAUCAGAGCAUCAUCAACCCACGGGUUCUCAAGGAGAUAUCAUGGAAUAUUUUCAUCCAGCUGAAGUCCAAGCAGGAAUAAAUCAAACCUUUACCAUUCGUAAAAUAGAAUCUGCUUCAAUGACACAGCAAGAUAGAGGAAUUUAACGCAAGAUUGACGUGGCUGACGAUGAAGAUGAAGCUUCAACAUCUCAAAGAAGAACAAAGGCACCUGAACAGACAACGGAUGCAGGGGAGGUGGCAACCCCGAAGCCACCACUAGCAGAAUGAGGAUAUUGCACUGGAAUUGUCAGGGGCUAAAGAGGAACCCUCUGACAAUUCCUUACCUAAAAGAUAUCAUGAAGUCUUCUAAACCUGAUAUCUUGUUCCUCAUAGAAAUAAUGAACGGCUUUAACUAUGUGAAUAGUCUAGCUACGGAUCUCUGCUAUAAUCAUAGCUAUAUUAUCCCUUCAGACGGCCUUAGUGGAGGAAUGGCUAUUUUUUGGAAUGACAGUGUGCAUAUUGACUUUUUGGAUCCUCCUACUCUAAACUACACGGAUAUGUAUCUUCUUCUAGUCAUCCUACUUUUUGCCUCACUUAUGUUUAUGGCGAUCCAGAUCAGAAACACAUGAAUGCUAUGUGGGAGAAAAUGAUGGUCUAGGCCCAAGGAGGAAUGUAUCGCAGCAAGCCUCGACUAGUUCUUGGGGAUUUCAAUGAUAUCAAGAGUAAUGCUGAAAAAAUAGGAGGUCUAGUACGGUCUGAGAAUUCUUUCAAAAUAUUCAGGCGAAUGCUCCAAUCCUCUGGUCUUCAUGAUUUGAAAACAGUGGGUGCAAAAUAUACAUGGUAUGGUCAAAGAUACACACAUACUGUCCAAUCAAGAAUUGACAGAGCUGUAGCUUCAGCAUAUUGGUUAGAUGCUUUUCUUUUCCUUAAGCCUAUGUACAGCUAUUGGAUUGGAUAGGAUCUGAUCAUCGUCCACUGUUGCUUGAUACGGGUGUUAAAAAAAAAGAAGAGGAUAUGCUUUGUUCAGAUAUGAUAAUCGUUGGCGAUUUAACAAGGAGUUAAAGGAAGAACUGAAAAAAACUUGGACAGCUGAUUGUCAAGAUCUACCUGGAGAUCAAUUUCAUGAAGCUCUGAAAAGAUGCAGAUCUUGUAUGUCCCGCUGGAAGUCGUAUAAUUUCCACAACUCAGCUAAAAGAAUUCAAGAUCUAAAGGAAAAAAUCAAGCAAGCGUAUAAUACUUCUCCCAUUGAUUUCAAUCGCAUAAAAGCUUUAAAAUCUGAGCUAACAAUUGAAUACAGGAUGGAAGAGGAGUAUUGGAGAAUCAAAAGUCGUAUCCAAUGGCUUUAGGCGGGAGACAGAAACACAAGAUUUUUUCAUGAGAAAACAAAGCAAAGAAGAGGAUACAAUAGAAUCACGGCAAUUGCAGAUUCUCAAGGCAAGGUUUGGUACUCUGAAGAGGAUCUUAACAGAGUAAUAAUAGAUUAUUUUGAUGCUCUCUUCUUUUCUGAUUGUCAAGAAGAUAUGGCUGAGGCUUUGCAGCACAUUCAACCUCGUGUAUCCCAGGAAAUGAAUGAUGAUCUUGUAAAACCUGUUACUGAGGAAGAACUAUAUAGAGCUGUUCAUCAAAUGGCAAGAGAAAAGGCUCCAGACCCUGAUGGCUUAAAUCCAGGUUUUUACCACGCCAUUGGGCUACUAUUCGAUCAGGUGUGUUGAAAUUUGCACAGCCUUUCUUUGAAAAUUUUAAUUUGGAUCCUGCUAUCAAUCAUACACAUAUCUGUCUGAUCCCAAAAAUAGACCAUCCUACUGAAGUCAAGGACUAUAGGCCUAUUAGUCUUGCUAAUGUUGCCUAUAAAAUUUUAUCAAAAGUUCUAGCAGAAAGGCUCAAACCUUGGUUGAACACUAUCAUCUCUGAAAACCAAACUGCUUUUAUUCCAGGAAGGAUGAUUACUGAUAAUAUUCUGAUUACUCAUGAGUUAAUACAUUCUCUCAAUACUAGAAGGCGUGUUCAACCUUUUAUUGCUACUAAACUUGAUAUUACUAAAGCUUUUGAUAAAGUUGAAUGGUCUUUUAUUGAAGCUGUGAUGCAAAGGAUGGGAUUUUCAGAGACUUGGUGCAAAUGGAUUAUGAAGUGAAUCACUACUGUUACCUACUCAGUUCUUGUAAAUGGUCAGCCUGUUGGGAAUAUUACUCCCCAUAGAGGCAUUCGUCGAGGUGACCCCAUAUCAUCUUACUUAUAUUUGUUAUGUACAGAGGGUCUAUCUGCUUUAAUCCAAAAGAACAUUAAAUCAGGAAAUAUUCAUGGUUUCAAAGCAAGCCGAACUGGUCCUGCAAUCUCACAUCUACUCUUUGUAGAUGACUCUUUGCUAUUCUGCAAAGCCACAGAAAGCGAGUGUUCAUCUCUACUUCACAUCCUCCAUCAAUAUGAGAAAAUUUCAGGUCAAGCUGUUAAUAUCCAGAAAUUUGCAAUUACUUUUGGUAUAGGAACUGAUUCAGAAACAAAAAAAUGUAUUAGUCAGAUUCUGGGAAUUCAUAAAACUAAGGGCUUUGGUAGAUAUUUAGGCCUCCCGGAGUUUGUGGGACGUAAUAAAACGAAUGCUUUUUCAUAUCUUGCUCAGAGAGUUGAUCAGAAAAUGUCAAAUUGGUAUACAAAAUUUCUCUCACCUCCAGGCAAAGAAGUACUUCUCAAGUCCAUCAUUACAGCUAUCCCUGCAUAUAGUAUGUCCUGCUUCUCACUGCCUUCGAAAAUCACUAACCAGAUUGAAAGAGCUAUGAUAAGUUUUUGGUGGUCUAGCUCUAAAGAAAAACAUAAGAUUCCCUGGAUUGCAUAGAGGACAAUUACUAAUUUAAAGAGAGAUGGAGGGCUGGCCAUAAGGGACCUCAAAGAUUUCAACAUUGCAUUAUUAGCAAAACAGAGUUGGAGACUACUUCACCAACCAACUUCACUGAUGGCAAGGGUAUUUAAAGCCAAGUAUUAUCCUAAGCAUUCCCUCUUUGAAGCAAAAACAAAAACCCAAGAUAGCUAUGCUUGGAAGAGUAUCACUCAAGGUACACACCUUUUAUCUUAUGGUCUCAAAUAUUUAGUAGGGAAUGGCAAAGCAAUUAAUGUUUGGAAGGAUCCAUGGUUGCCUUUAAAACCUCCCAGACCAGCUCGAGGCCCUGGACAACAUAUAUACCCAAAUUUGACAGUAGCUGAUCUGCUACAACAGGGUACCUGGAAUCAAGAUUUGAUUGAACAGCUUAUUGACCAUGAAGAUAUCAAGUGUAUCAUAAAUCUGAGGCCUUCGGUUACUGGUGCAAAUGAUAUACUUCAUUGGAUAUAUACUCAAGAUGGUCGAUACACAGUUAAAUCAGGAUACCAGCUCUGGCGUAAACUAUCUGCAGAGACCUCAAGCCGUUUCUCUCUUACAAAUCAGGUUUCCAUCUCAAAAUCUUUUCUCCACCAUAUGGAAGCUCAAUGCCCCUUAGAAAAUUAAGCAUUUUUGGUGGAGAUGUCUUCAUAAUGCCAUACCUACUGCAGAUAAUUUGAGGAAAAGGAGGAUGACUGCUGACAAUAUAUGCCAGAGAUGUGGAGAUUUUGAUGAGACAGUCAAUCAUCUUCUAUUCCAAUGUAGAGUCAUCAGAGAGAUCUGGGAGCAUGUCCUAAACCAAACAGCCCCAGGUACUUUCCUUAUCCAUGAUUCUUUUAGUCAAAAUCUGGAAUCACUACAGAGUUUGAGCAAAAACCAAGGAGAGGAUGUAAGUUUAUUCCCUUUCAUUGGUUGGCGUAUCUGGAAAAUGAAGAAUGAUUUAUAUUUCAACAAUAAGCAAUGGGCUAUUCGCCUAUUCCAGAUAUUAUUAAUAAAGCUCUGUUGGAUUACCAGCAAUGGAAAGAAAGCCUCACAGUUAAUAAGGACACAUCAGCAGGAGGUCAAACCAGAGAUAGAAACAUUCCUCAGGAUAUAUUACAUGCUUCCAGAGUCCUCAAAGAUCUUAUUCAUAAAGAGCAAAAUUAUGUAUGUUUUGUAGAUGGCUCUUGGAUCUCUCCAACAGAUGGAGCAGGCAUAGGAUGGGUCCUAUAUAAUCAAAAUGCGCAGUUUGUACUCCGAGGAAUGGCUGCUAUCAAUCCCAUGAAUACAGCGCUGGAAACUGAAGCAGAGGCGCUAAGGCUUGCAAUGAUUCAUGUAAACAGAAUGGGGUAUAAAAACGUUACGUUCUGUGGAGAUGCACUUAAUCUCUUCUCACGACUUCAGCAAGCCAAGCUAGGCCUCUCGCCAACAGCAAGAACACUCAGCUCUUUUAGCUCAUGUAAUAGAUAUAAAAACGCUUGCUGUGAUUGUAUAAGUUUUUUCAAAGUUCCUCGCGAGCUUAAUUGUGUGACUGAUAGGUUAGCUAAAGAUGCCAGAAUUAGAAAAUUAAACUUUGUAAUAUCAUGGAAUGAUGUAACUUCAGUUUCAAUAUGAUGAAAGUUAAGUUGACGACAAAAAAAAAAAAAAAAAAAAACAAUACAUUUAUUACAUUUAACCAAUAUAUAUUAGUUGCUUGAAGUCAACUAUGCAAUCUCAAAGAUAUGAUUAUCAUGUAACAAACGCAUAACCUUAGAAUUUGCAACUCACAAAAUAAAACAUGAGGUCAACUAUAAGCAAUCUCAAACAUAUGAUCAUCAUGCAACAAACGCAUAAACUUUAUCUACAACUAGAGCACACAAUAUAUAAAUAUUACCAAGAGUCUAUUUAUUCCUCGGAUAAGAGGUGUUCGUCGAUCUCUCUGGUCAUCUCGGCGAAGAAAGGGAGGAGAUUCUCUGGAUGAGCCACGUUCUCAUCAAUCUUCUCGUAUUCAAGGUGCCAUUUCACAACACUUCCAACUCCUCCUUCCUUCGGGGUCACCUGAAUCGUGAUCAAGAAACUCUUGUACUCGGCCAUAACAUCUCCUUCUAUGACCCUAAACUUUAUCAGUUUCUUCUCUGGCUCUACUAAUUCAAUCCUCUCUUUUGCCACCUUUGCUUGCCCCUCUACACCCAAAACAUUCACCUAUCAAAUCUUUUUUUUUUUAAUCAAAUCUUAUAGUCACAAAAUAUUUAGGAUAUCUUAGAGAUUACCAUGAACGUAGUUCCAAAAGACGAUGCUGCCUACGGUACCCCAUUCCCCAUCGUGGAGAUCACAUGAUUGGACGUUGCGAGGAGUGGCUUUAGCCACAUGGUGUGGUCUUCCUGCAUAGAUGUGGUAGAAUGUUGCCGCGGGAGCUUUGAUCUCAACUUCUACCUCAAGCUCUCCUAAUAGAGAAGGAUUGGGCAUCGCCUCCACCGUGUCUGCCAUAUUUAUUCACCGACUGUUUUUCUCUCCUUUUUAGCAAUAUAGGCUCCACAAAAGGUUUUGGAUAUGAAACUUGAUCACUUUAAUCAUAUAGGCUCCACAAGUGGUUAUAUGAUAGAUAAUAUAUAUUUUUGUUGCAUAGAUUAUAGUUUCAGGGUCCAGCGAAAUUUCAGAAAUGAUCAAAGCAGAUCCAUAUAUAAAAUUUAUUAAUAACUCCAGCGGACUGUUCAACCAUAUGUGACAUGAUCUUUAAGAUUUUAAUACCUUUAUAAUACCUACUCCAGCGAAUUUAUAAUAUUUUAGAAAAUUUUCAAAGUUGUAUCCCAAAAGAAUCAGUCUUUGCUAGAAUAAUAAAAACGAGUGUGGCGAAAACGUCAAAAGAAAAGACCAAAAAAAAAAAACUUUUGCCAUGUUUAUUAUUCUUUUAGAAAUUUGUCUUAAGUUGUCACGCAAAGAAAUAAUAUUUGCUUGAAUGGUACAGCUGAUGAAAACGUCAGAAAACAAUAUGGAAAGAUACUAAAUUAAUCCAAAUUAUGAGUUUAAUUACUAGAUUGUCUCAAAAAAAAUUUGGGCUAAUUGGGUUAUUUUCAUGUUUCAAAUAAUCUUGUCUCAUGUGUAGAAAAAAAAAAACAAAUACAAAAAUGUCUUUCAAAAUUAAUUCCAGCAAUUUUACAAAAGCUACUGUCUAGUUGUGAUAGAUUAAUUAAUAUACUGCAGAUUUAUGUGUUCGUGACAUAUUUCUUUUGACAGACUUAUUUGGUUGAACAGAUUUUUUAAAAUAUGGUUAUGACAGACUAAAAACAAUUGUAGCAGAUUUAUUUUUUGUUGACAGAUUUUGAUAUUUUUUAUUUUUGUCAACAACUUUAUUAGAUUAGAGAUAUUUUUUUUUAUUCAACCACAGACUUUCAAAAUUUGUGACAGGCUUAUUGUAAUGUGUGGUUGAUUUAUUUUGUAUGAAACGACAUAUUUAUAAUUUUCUGAAAAAUCUGUCAUGUUGUAACAGAUUUGUUGACUAAAAAUUAAUAACUAGAAUGACGUCUAAUGAUAGCAGAUUUGUUAUAUGUAAUGAUAUCGUGUAACAGCUGUCAGCAAAUUUCUUUUAAAUAUAAUUUUUUUAUGUAAUGACAGAGUAACAAAUUAAGUUAUAUAACCACAUAUCUGUCUUUUGAUGACAGAUUUGCUAAAAGACAAACAAAAUUGUUGGAAUGACCUUUAUAAUGUUUUGUGUUACGACAGAUUUGAAAUUUUGAAUUCCUAUGAUGAAAGUUUUUUUUUUUUUUUUUUUCUGGCUGCUUUCUAUAAGUAGAAUAUGACUUAGAAUGAUGACAUUUUUUUUUUCUUUUCAUGACUGACUUGUUUAAAUCAGUUACCAUAUUUGACAUUAAAAUCAUUAUAUGUCAACAUAACAAUUUUAGUGUUUUUAUUCAAAAUAACGUGACCUAUUUUUUUUCUUUCUCUAUUGAAGCAACGUGAGCCCUGUUUUUGUAUGAUGUCAGUUUUAUUGAUGAAAAUAUAAUUUUAAUAUGCACAAUAGGUAAUGACAGAAGGCUAUAAGUUUGUUUUUUUUUAUUUUUUUUUUGCGGAUUAGGUUAAUAUUUUUUCCGCUUUGUAUUUUGUUUAUUUUUUUUGUAUUUUUUUCGUUUUGUAUUUUUUUUCGUUUAAUAGUUUUUCAUUUUGUAUUUUUAUUUUUUGUAUAUAUAUAUAUAUAUAUAUAUAUUUGGUUUUAUAUUUUUUUUGUUAUUUUAUCAUUUUGUAUUUUUUUUUCAUUUAAUAUUUUUUUUGUUAUUUAUUUUUUUCUUCUAAUUUUCUAUUUAAUUUAAUUAUUAUAGAUUAAUUAUUUUAUUUUAAUAGAAUUCAAAAUAAGAUGGGUAUUUGGUUUUUUAACAUAAAAAUUAUGUUCUUCUAGUAAACCACAUUAUUUGGGUGUUAAUUUAGUUAUUUUUCUCUAAAUUUGGGUCAAACUAGGUAAAUUUCAGAAACAAUAUUGAUAUUUUUCUUUACCAUUGUCAUUGUGUGAAGUGCCAUUGGUUAGAAAAAAAUUGAUUGAACAAAGUAAUUUUUCAAAUUUUCAUUCAUUCUAAAAAGUUUAACAAACUUAAAAGAAAUAUUUCCUACAAUAUUUUGGCAAGAGAAUGAAGGGAAUCAAAAAUUUUAUUCAUUCUAAAAAACAUCUAAAACAAACAUAAAAACAAAUAUUUUAGUUGACAAAAAAAUGUAUUUCAGAUUUACUACAUUUCAACUAUAUAAAAAAUUAUAAUAAUAAUUUAUUUAAUACUUUAUUUAGAAGUAACUUUUUUUUUGUAGGUACAUAUGUACUUAAUAUUCGAGGCCCAAAUUAAAUGCCACUUCUCCGGAGUUAAUCAAAUGUGGUAGUCAUCACAUUUAUGAUAUUGAUAAAACUUGUUGAUAACCUUAAAUGUCACAUUUAUACUCCCUCUCUUUCAUAAAAAAUGUCAACACAUUUAACAAAAAUUAUGAAAAUCUUAAAUUAUACAUGUGUACCUAUUUACUAAGUGAUUAAUGAUUGAAAUUCAAUGAAAAGUAGCUUUGGGUUAAGGGUAAAUCAGAAAAUUUAGUAAAAAAAUUACUAGAAUGACAUUCUUUGUGAAACAAAAAAAUAAAAAUCUAGAAUGACAUUCUUUCUGACACAGAGGGAGAUUGUUAGCUACAAGACUUUGUUUGACCGGAAGUUAACUCUAUUUUAUUUGGACGAUCUAACCUGAACUUAAUUCUUUCUCAUGAAGAGGUGUUAGAUCGGGGAAACGAGCAUAUACAUUCAGGACUUCUUAUCCCUUUUUACCACUCUCUGCUGAUCCUGAAUGGCCACUCACUUUCAGUGGUUCCUACCCUUAAAACCAUAUCCUCUUUUCAGACCUCACGCAUUCUCUUUUUCUUUUUCUCAUUUUAGCAGUUAUGUGCAAAAACAUCGGAGAGAAAGGAACGACACGGUUUCCCGCCACGAAGACGGAGAUCCAGAAUCUACAGAGAGGAUGCGAUGAUUUGGUACAUAGCUUAUUCUUCCUUGGGAUCCGAUUUCAAAAGGUACUUAUUUCGUGCUUAUAAGACUCGUGUAUAUAAUAAGUACCGCUUCUCCUUUCAAAAAAAAAAAAUGGAAGCGGUUACAAAAAAAAAGUCUUAUAAGUACAGAGAGAUCCCAAGGAAAGACAUGGAUCACUUAGAGGAGAGAUGGAAUCAUUACAGAAAAGCCUAAGUCUGGGGGAAUCGAAAAGACGAAAAGAAGUAAGGAGAUGAGGUGUUCAAGAAGAAGUAGUUGGAAACUGUGGACCUCAACAGAUCCGUUCUCUCUUGCGGUUUUGCGACAUAUCCUGCAUUCUCGAGACUUACGGGAAUCCUAAACACUUAAACUCCACCACUAAACACCAAAAAGCCCCUUUCUUACAAGUGCCGUCUACCCCGAAUGACAUCUUCUAAUGAGAAAGGCUCACGCCACUUAUUAAUGAAUGUAGAGAGUUAACUAAUGUGAUUUCAGAGUUCUCUUACAGGUUCGAGAUGGAAGGAUAAGGAUGGUGAAAGUUUUGAGUCGUCUAUAGUGAGUAUAUUCUAACGUGUUGUCCCUAUCUUUAUGCGUCCGAAGGAUAUCUUUUAGUACAUGGUCUCUGAUACUAAGAGAAUUCCCAAGGUUUUUCAAACCUCUCGCUUUCUUGUUUGCUUGAGGACAAGCAAAGUCUAAAUCUAGGGGAGUUGAUAACAUCGUAUUUUAGCCCACUUUUACUAUGUUUUAUUUAGGUUUUCCAUGGAGAAAACAUGAGAUAUUGGAGAUUUUAAGGAUGAUUUCAAGUAUUUAUGCUUCAAGAAUGAAUAAUGUGUUUUCAAGCAAAAAGGAGUAAAAGACGAUCAAAUCCCGUUUCAAGACUGUUUCUAUGCCUCAGAAGUAUGGCGUCCGUUCGAGGUCUUCCCGAUUACCAAAUCAAGAGAUCUCGGUGGCUAUGGAAAGCUAGGAGAGUCUAACGUGUUGACUGUUCUAAGUUAAUACCUAGAACAGUCAAUACCUACAACCUACCUCUGCUAAUUAAGGUCACCUCAAAAAACCAUAGUCCAAUAAUCAAAACCAGUUAUUUUGCAUGGAUUAGGCUUAUCGAUGUUUAAGCGACCAAAUGUUAGGAAACGAUAGCAUGUGUAGUGUGGAGCAUUUACUAAAACAAUAUUAACAUACUCUUUGAAUGCUUGUAUGUGCUCCAAUGUUAGGCCUUCUCUCUUAUUCCAUAAGCUCUUCAUAUCUUUCCAACGGAAUCGAUAUUCUCCAAAAUGGAUUAUCCUAAAUCUUCUACUUCUUAUGAUGACCAAAGUGCAUCUUUUCGAUAUAAAAAUCUAACUUAGAACAUAAAUUUUGAGUCUAAAACUUAUAUAGGGGAAUUCGUACUAAAAAAAGGAAUAUACUAGAUGUUAGUCAAUUUUAUAGUCUAGUAUAUAUUCAAUUCAAUGCCAACUACUAGUUCAAUUACAAAUUUUUUGAUGAAAUGUUAAAUUGAUUGAGAAAAUAAAUAUGUACAAAAGAGUUUUGAAGUAGCUAACAGACAACGUAAACAGAGCACAAAUACUUGUGGAGAACUUUAGCUAGAACGUCGGGACCCGAACCAAGCUUGGAACAGGUUGCGAAGUUCAACAACAAUUUCAAAUACAAAAAAUAUUUACGUGCUAUUAGAUGAUGGAUAUGAAAGAAACGUAGAAGAAUAAUUUGUACAAAGCAACUUUUUUUUUUUUUUUUUUUUUUUUUUUUGUACAAAGCAACUUCAUAGGUGAUAGGUAUGAAGAGCAUGAUGUUGAACAUAUUUACGCUCUAAAUGACAAACAUAGAGGAGGAGAUAUUGACUGAUAGGUCCCAGUUAAGUGUUGAUCAAGACAAUAAAAAUAAAAAAAAUGAACACAAGUAACUUAAGACAAGUUUCCCUCCAUACCAAGUUACACAAACGUAAACAAAAACAGACAUAAUCAAACAAUAACUAACACCUAAAUAAUAGGAAUUAAACACUUUUAGCCCAUAAUCCCACUAAAUUACAAACAACACACGUUGAGGUAUUCAUGGCCUUUGAACCUAUCAUUGACUCUAAUGAAGAGCAUAUAUUGCCAUUGAUAUCAAAUUUGAAUCUGAUAAUGAGCAGGUUGUUAACAUGGAUGUGCUUGUAUAAGAAAAUGUUUAUACUUAGUACAUAUUUAUAUGCUUUAAUUUACAUUUUAAGGUUUUUGAACUUAUAUUUUUAUUCGAAAUUGUUAAGGCUUGAAUUCUUAAUUUUUUUUUCUCAGAAGAAAAACAUUACAAGAUUUCUACUUAGACAGGUGAACUCCAUAAAUUUUUAUCUAGAAAGAAAGCAUUUUCACGAGGUAUAUUUUCCAUUUUUUAAAAAAUUUUGUUUUAAAUUUCAAUUUUACAAAAAAAAAAAAAAAAACAGGUAAAUAAUUAAUUGAUGCCUAGAUGCCUUGUAAAAUCUUUAUUUUUAUAUAGAUGUUAGGUCUUUUGCGAAUGCUCAUUCACUAUUUAGAGAUUUUUUGAACAUCGAAAUGACAUGUACCCUAUUAAUAACAUGGGGCUUUGUUAACUCCAUAAGAAAGGUUUUUAAGAACACAACAUGUUUAUCAUGUCUUUAUUCACAAUCACAAGACGUCGUGUUAUAUAGUCAUCGAAAAGAAAAAUAGUUUUCUUAACCGUUGAUAGUCAGAAGAAUCGACAACACGAAGAUUAUAUUGAAUUGAGUGAAUGUAUGUUUAACUACCAAAUCUUCUUAAAUCCAUUAAGAAUUUUAUUAUUCCCUCUGUUUCACAAAACAUGUCAUUCUACAAUUUUUCACACAAGAUAAGAAAAUGUGAAAAUUUCUUUUAGAGGAAUUCCCGAAAAUAGCACUAAAACAAGUUUUAUGGACAAUUAUAGCACACAGUCCAUAAACCUCCAAAAAUAGCAUUAGUUGAUUAACUAUUAAACUUUUGUUCUAAAAUUAUUAUCACUAAUUUAUUUUUUUCCAAUAAUACCACAAUUUUUGUAUAAAAACUAUUCAACAAAAAUAAAUUUAAAAUAUUAUAUUUGUGUUAUUUAUUUCCAAUUUAGGGCUUAUAUUUCCACCAUUUAAAAGAGAUAUUGAUUCAUUUUAAUAUUAAAUUUGUGUUAUUAUGUUUGGAUUCAUUAGCUCCAAUUUAGGGUAUAUAUUUUAACCAUUUAAAUUUGUGCUAAUUUUGGAAAAACAUCUUUUUCAGGGGUUAAUUCAAUUGCUUUUUCUUUUAUGCUCUUUGAUAAUACACUAUAACAGUUUCUCUCUUUAAUUAAUAAACUGAAAUAAUAUGAAUAAAAAAAAAUUUAGUAUUAAAAACUGCAUUGAAAACACAAAACGAUAUUUUUUGUAAAACAAAAAAAAAGCUUAAAACGAAAAUUCUUUGUGAAACGGAGAAAGUAUAUAAGAAUCAAAGAUCAUAAAAUCACAAAUAAAGCUUCCUGUUUAUAAGACCGUUAGUGAGUUCCUAGAGUUAGUUAGAAGCUCUGCAUCAAAACAGAGCUAUAAGCUCUCUACUUCUCUCUCUUUUGUAACUCUCCGAAAACACAAUGAUAGUGAAUUGGUAAGGCCAAGCCUUGCUGAAACGUAACUUAGAUCGAUUUGAUCAUAUGGAACUCAUAAACGUGUUCGUAUCUCAUUUUCAAUUCAUUUACAAAUAGUAGCCAUAAGAGGUGUAAGAUUUGACGGUUGAUUGUGAAGGUCUAGUGUUCGGAUUAUCGGCUCCAAAUCGCAACAAUAUGAUCGGGAUCUUCUCUACUAAAUAUAGACCGAGGAUUGUAUCGUGAAAAUAGUUAAUGAACAACUUAUAAUUGAUCAUCAUGGAAAAUAUGUAACUCUUAUUGAUUUUACAAUGACCUACAAUAAUCAAACUGUAAUAUUGGUACCAACAUCUCUUAUUGUAUCCUACGUUACUAUUAUUCGACUGGCAAAUUCUCAGCUUCAUAUCUGACUGACUCGAACAAUUCAGUCGAUAAAUAACGUUCUCCUCCACUGGGAAAAAUAACCUACAAACCAUACGAUAAUCGGUAUAUUCGAUAAUCCGGUUUCAAUUUCGGUUAAGUAAAAGCUUAUAUAUGUUCAUUCUAAGUUAGAGACAAAGCUUACCACAAUGAGUUUCCCUGCGUUUUCUGGCCGCUUUGCAACCUUUAACGCAGCCGCUGCUGAGGCUCCAGAGGAUAUUCCAACCUGCCAGAUGAAUCAUCCCAUUUAUCAAAAACUCCGGUUUUUAAAUUCUUUGAGAGCUUUAAAGAAUGUUAGAACCAUUUGUACCAAUAAUCCUUCUUUGAGAGCAAGAAGCUUGGCUGUUUCAAUAGCUUCCUCACCUGUCACCUAAAAUCAAAAUAUUGCAUAUCUCAGAAUAUUGUUUCACGAUUGCGAUGUCGAUGAUCUUAACUACUUACUUGAAUGAUUUCAUCAACAAUGCUUAAGUCCAAAUUGGUUGGAAUUUCACCAGAGCCAAUUCCUUGGAUCAAAUGUGGACCUACAAAUAUGGAAUCAUCAAUUAUAAAUUAGAAAUAAUCUAGUACUCUAAAAUAAUUAUGUUUAUUUCCUCACCUGGUUCUCCUCCGCUGAGUACCGCACUUUCGGCAGGUUCCACCACACAAACCUAUUGAUGAAGAUUGUAAAGAAAUUAUGUUAAAAAAAAUAUCCGAUUUCUUAUGUUUGUUUUCAAGAAUUAGUUAAGUUUCUGAACCUUAAUGUCUUUGUUCUUUUCUUUAAGGAACUUCCCUGUUCCAGUAACCGUUCCACCAGUUCCAACACCGGCGACCAAGAUAUCUACUUUCCCUGCUGAAUCUCUCCAAAUCUCCGGACCCGUGGUUCUGUAAUGAAUCUGCAAGAAACAAAUCACAAGAGUGAGAGAGAAACUCAAAGAAUAUAGAAUUGUGAUGGAAGCAUGAUACUAUAUAACCUCGGGGUUUUCAGGAUUUAUAAACUGGUGUGGUAUGUAACCACCAGGAGUUUUGCUUAAUAUCUCUUUAGCUUUCUCCAACUGUCCUUUAAUGCCUAUGCUCAUGUCUGUGAGAUGAACCUCUGCACCUAAUGCUCUCAGAAUGAUUCUCCUCUCUAAGCUCAUCGUUGCAGGCAUCAAAAGGAUCACUUUAUAACCUCUUGAAGCCCCGAUGCUGGCUAAACCAAUCCCGGUGUUACCACCCGUUGCCUCAAUCAAUGUACUCUAAAACAAAAAAAAAACAAAAAAUUUAUUCCAUAUAAGGAUUCUAAUGGACUAUGGAGAGAUUAUAUAGGUUUUUGACCAGGGUGUGCAACCUAGUGAUUGCCACCGUGUCAUAACUCGAAGAGUGCGUGUGUAAGUUGUAAACGAUAAAAGAAAAAGAAAACACUAGGCUUCAAGCCUCGGUCAGUGAUUUUGAAACUGUUGUAUAUUAACCUUUCCGGGAGUAAUCAAUCCUUUGUCUUCUGCAUCUUUGAUCAUACUAUACGCGAUUCUGUCUUUGAUGCUAGAGCAAGGCUCCAUCAUCUCAAGCUUGGCAGCAAUACGGGCCACGCAACCAUCAACAAUUUUAUUUAGAUACACCAUUGGUGUGUUACCAAUCAACUGCGCAAAAUGCACAACCAUAUAUAAGUAACAACCCAAGCAAAGGAUUUCAAACAUGUUUUUUAAUCCAAGAGAGCAAAUUAGUAUGGAAGAGAUUAGAGAUUUUUACUUCAGUGACAUCGUUCUUGAUCAAAGAAAUUCUGUCUUCCAUGUUUGUCUGUCUUUGAAGCUCCUUCAUAUUUAAUAUACUGGUACAAGAAAAAAACAAAAAUUGAUACCAAAAUCAGAAAAUGGUAGUAAGAAACAAAUCAAAAGUAGGACGAACAAGGCAGAACUACAUUAUCUUUUCUUAUGGAUGAAUGGAGAAACAAGAAAGAACCAAAAAAACGUAGUACCUAUAGAGUUUUAAUCAAUGAAGAAGAGACAAAAGACCGCUAAAUCUAAAACCCUACCAUGCUAUAUAUAUAGACAUAGACAUAUAGAUAUUGUAUAUAGAUUAGUAUUGAGUGGUUGUACAAUUGAAUAAUAUUUAUCUAAAUGGUUAUAUUUUUUGGGAUGAAAAAAAACAAAACACUCUCAAACAAACCAAAUCUUGUUGUAAGAUAUUCAUUAAUUAAAACUUUUGACCUCACUAACAAAGACGACAACAUUGCAUAUUGUGGUUAAACAUUUUCUAGUAAUAUAUAGUACAAACAAACAAACGUAAUGUGUAUCUAAAAGUUACAAUAAACAAAAUCAAUGAGAUUAUGGAGUUUAACACAAACCACUAAACAACAAGUUCUGGUCGUAGUUUAUAAUUUAGAAUUAAGGUUUAGGGUUUACAUGAUGUAUCGUUAUUCGAUUUUUCAUUCAAGAAUCAAUUAUGAGUUUACCAUUUUUUUGGAGUGGUAUUUGUGGAUUUGCCAUUUUGGCAUUUUCUCUAAAAUCUUAUGAAUUUGUCCUUUUUCAGACUAUAAAAAUACGAUUUAACAUGCGCUUUAUCCGUUAUGUUUGGGUUUAGUCAGUUUCAUUUGAAUUUAGGGAACGUAGUUUAGCAAAAAAGAAUCGUCAAUUUGAACUUUUCAAAUGUUCAAAAAUGACAAAUCCAUAAAAUUUUAGAAAAAGUGGCAAAAUCCAUAAAUGUUAGUCGAAAAGAUGGCAAAAUCUGUAAUAAUCCUUUUUUAAAAUAGAGGCCAUGAUUUCUAUGGUAUAGUGGAGGCGUUUGUGAUGGCAAUAGCAGCCGUGGUAGGGACAAAGGCGAUGGUUGCGACCACCGUGGAUGUGGUUGUGGCGAUGAUUUUUUUUCUUAUCGUGAACUUUAAAUGUAUAAUUAUGUUUGUUUGUAUGGCUACAAUGUAUUAGCACUUGUUUGAUAAAAGUAAAAUGUACUAACACUUGGUAUUUGGUAAGGUUUUCGAAUUCAUUUAGCUUUAGUUUCAGAAGACAUUAACUCUAAAAUGCAGUUCAAUUUUGUA